rnacentral:rRNA from 1 species
AUUGAGCGCUGGCGGCAGGCUUAACACAUGCAAGUCGAGCGGGGGAAGGUAGCUUGCUACCGGACCUAGCGGCGGACGGGUGAGUAAUGCUUAGGAAUCUGCCUAGUAGUGGGGGACAACAUCUCGAAAGGGAUGCUAAUACCGCAUACGUCCUACGGGAGAAAGCAGGGGAACUUCGGACCUUGCGCCAAUAGAUGAGCCUAAGUCGGAUUAGCUAGUUGGGGGGGUAAAGGGCUACCAAGGCGACGAUCUGUAGCGGGCCUGAGAGGAGGUGCCGCCUAACUGGGACUGCGAGACGGCCCAGACUCCUAGGGGGGGCAGCAGGGGGGAAUACUGGACAAUGGGGGCAACCCUGAUCCAGCCAUGCCGCGUGUGUGACGAAGGCCUUAUGGUUGUAAAGCACUUUAAGCGAGGAGGAGGCUACUGAGACUAAUACUCUUGGAUAGUGGACGUUACUCGCAGAAUAAGCACCGGCUAACUCUGUGCCAGCCGCCGCCGUAA